CCCUUAGAUGUCCUGGGCCGCACGCGUGCUACAAUGAUAAAAGGAAAGAGCAAAAAGAGGUUUAUUUUUCUCUUUGUUACUGAAUAGAAAUGUUUGGUUAAUCUUUAGAAAUUUUAUCGUGAUGGGGAUAGAUCCUUGAAAUUAUUGAUCUUAAACGAGGAAUUCCUAGUAAGCGCAAUUCAUCAAAUUGCGUUGAUUUCGUCCCUGCCCUUUGUACACACCGCCCGUCGCUCCUACCGAUUGAAAGAUCCGGUGAAAAGUUGGGAGAAGAAAGAAUGUAUUGUUCUUUUAUUAAACUUCUUUAAACCUUAUCUUUUAGAGGAAGGAGAAGUCGUAACA
rnacentral:rRNA from 1 species